rnacentral:pre_miRNA from 1 species
UCGAAUCAAAGAACUGAGAUCGAUUGGUGCAUAGAUAUCAAGGAGAUCCGAUCAUUUCAAUUCUAGCACCAUUCGAAAUCAGUGCUUUUGAUAAGAAC